UACACAUGCAAAACGAGCGAGAAAGCCCGCAAGGGUGAGUAAAGCGGCGCAUUUGCCCGUAACACGUGGGUAAUCUGCCCUAGAGUCCGGAAUAACUCGCCGAAAGGCGUGCUAAUGCCGGAUGAGACCACGGGAGCCUCGGCUCCUGCGGGAAAAGGUGGCCUCUGUACACAAGCUAUCGCUCUAGGAUGAGCCCGCGGCCCAUCAGCUCGUUGGCGGGGUAAUGGCCCACCAAGGCUACGACGGGUAGCUGGUCUGAGAGGACGAUCAGCCACACUGGAACUGAGACACGGUCCAGACUCCUACGGGAGGCAGCAGUGGG
rnacentral:sRNA from 1 species